ACAUACGACCAUAGGACACUGGCAGCAGGGAUCCCCGUUUGAUCAUCCAUACUUAAGCAGUUUACCGGCGGAUUAGUAGUCAGGUGGGAGACCACUGGCGAAUCCCCGCUGUCGUAUGUU
rfam:Cochliobolus sativus ND90Pr unplaced genomic scaffold COCSAscaffold_9, whole genome shotgun sequence.